rnacentral:lncRNA from 1 species
UUUUAAAACAAAACUCACGUCAUUUGCUCACACUCCCAUACUCACAACAAGCACCAGCAUGUCCAAGUAUUUGUCCAGCAUCCAAGGAUCAAGAUGCAAGUACCCAGGUGGUCUGGCCAGGAUUUCUUGUGAUGACGUGGAGGACAAGGGACACUGUCUACUGAGUCCUUCUCAUGCCUCCUCGUUUCUUCCUAGGUUGGCAGGCAUGCUGAAGUUUUGGAGGGGCUUUUUAUAUCCCUUUGGAACUGGGCUCAAGAUUUUGGUGAUGGACAAGCCAGGAUAAAUGAGAAGAUUUUGGUCAGAAUUCUGGAUCUUAUUGCAGCUGAGUCCCUGAAGGAGUCAUUAAAAAAAGAAAAAAAAAAGUGUUGUUGCCUGAAGAAACGGUUGGAAAGAGAAGUGGAGAAGGGCUUAAAAGGAAACCAUUUUCUCCGAAUCAUAGAAGGUGUUAUAUUUUUAUAUGUCAUGGUAGUCUGGAGAUUUCUGAAUAGGACCUUAAAGGAGAUGAAAUCCAAGAUAGAAUAACUUUGGUAUCCUGGUGGUAAAAAUAUCCAUAUGUUUUAGUAUGUGAAAUAUUUUACUGAGUAGAUUAAAAAUCUAUGAAGUGUUCUUGAAAUAGCUGAAAAUUGAGAUAAAAUUUUCAAAAUGAGUCAAAUUAGUCAGAUCUACCUGUAACAAGAUCUCUUGCAACGUAUGCUUCUAAGCUAAUAUUAUUCAUGCUGUUUUAAAGAUCAGCUGUAGACUGGCAGAUUUAAACAAACAAAAAGGCUAAAUAAUAAUAGUCUACACAGUGGUAUGUAGUUUCAAUUUUUGUUUUUUUCUCAUUCAAGAUGAAAUUGUCCCCAAUGAGCUUCAGAUGUGCAUAUGGUCACAGCAGUUCCAGUCUGUAAAAUCACAAUUUCAAUGAAACAGAGAAAUGAUGAGGAAUAUAAAAACUUAGUUAUCUUUCAAUACGAUUUUCAAGGAUCUUCAAAUAUAAUUGUAAAUGUUAAAGUGAUAUGCAUAUUAUAAGAAGUUUUCUUAAAACUACUUUAAAUUUACUACAUUACUUUUUCUACUAGAAGAAAUUUAAUAUUUGCAAAGUAUUUCUUGUGUAAAUUUAUUAUUAAAAUUAAUUAUAUAAAUAUUCUUUUUCCAUUUCCAUAAUUUUACCAACUUAUCUGGCUGUAUAUGGUGAGAGAUGAUGGAGAGACUAAAUAGUAAUUGCUUAUUGACUGUUUGGAAAGCACUAGCACAUUUUUCAUGCUACAGAAAUGUUAAAAAAUAUCUAAAAACAGUACCAAGAGUUAUAAAUGAUAUAGUAGUAACUAGGGUAAUUUUCAGAAUGGUAUGUUUAACAUUUUCCCUUUUUAUUUUAUAUGCAACUGAUUGAAACUUCUAUUACAAUAAAAACUGCUGGAGUUUUUUGGGAGGUUAUUAU